CGAGAUGUAGCGCAGUUGGUAGCGCGCCUGCUUUGGGAGCAGGAUGCCGCAGGUUCGAGUCCUGUCAUCUCGACCA
rnacentral:tRNA from 2 species